GCAGUCGAGCGAAUGGAUUGAGAGCUUGCUCUCAAGAAGUUAGCGGCGGACGGGUGAGUAACACGUGGGUAACCUGCCCAUAAGACUGGGAUAACUCCGGGAAACCGGGGCUAAUACCGGAUAAUAUUUUGAACUGCAUGGUUCGAAAUUGAAAGGCGGCUUCGGCUGUCACUUAUGGAUGGACCCGCGUCGCAUUAGCUAGUUGGUGAGGUAACGGCUCACCAAGGCAACGAUGCGUAGCCGACCUGAGAGGGUGAUCGGCCACACUGGGACUGAGACACGGCCCAGACUCCUACGGGAGGCAGCAGUAGGGAAUCUUCCGCAAUGGACGAAAGUCUGACGGAGCAACGCCGCGUGAGUGAUGAAGGCUUUCGGGUCGUAAAACUCUGUUGUUAGGGAAGAACAAGUGCUAGUUGAAUAAGCUGGCACCUUGACGGUACCUAACCAGAAAGCCACGGCUAACUACGUGCCAGCAGCCGCGGUAAUACGUAGGUGGCAAGCGUUAUCCGGAAUUAUUGGGCGUAAAGCGCGCG
rnacentral:rRNA from 1 species